rnacentral:rRNA from 1 species
GAUUAACGCUAGCGGCAGGCCUAAUACAUGCAAGUUGUACGGGAUUAUUGGUAGCAAUACUGAUAUGAGAGUAGCGCACGGGUGCGUAACACGUAUGCAACCUACCUUUAACUGGGGAAUAGCUCACCGAAAGGUGAAUUAACACCGCAUAAAAUCACAGAAGGACAUCCUUUAAUGAUUAAAUCUCCGGAGGUUAAAGAUGGGCAUGCGUCCGAUUAGCAGUUGGCGGGGUAACAGCCCACCAAGGCAACGAUCGGUAGGGGUCUGAGAGGAUGAUCCCCACACUGGUACUGAGACACGGACCAGACUCCUACGGGAGGCAGCAGUAAGGAAUAUUGGACAAUGGGGG